rnacentral:rRNA from 1 species
UACAGAGGUCUCAAGCGUUGUUCGGAUUUACUGGGCGUAAAGGGCGCGUAGGCGGCCACAACAAGUCACUUGUGAAAUCUCCGGGCUUAACCCGGUAGCGGCCAAGUGAUACUGUUGGGCUAGAGUGCGGAAGGGGCAACUGGAAUUCUCGGUGUAGCGGUGAAAUGCGUAGAUAUCGAGAGGAACACCUGCGGCGAAGGCGGGUUGCUGGGCCGACACUGACGCUGAGGCGCGAAAGCUAGGGGAGCGAACGGG